GCAAGAUGGCUCAGUGGUAGAGCAGUGGUCUCCUAACCGAGAGGUCCUGGGUUCGAAACCAAGUCAAUGCA
rnacentral:tRNA from 1 species